CCUACGGGGCGCAGCAGCCGGGAAUAUUGCGCAAUGGAGGAAACUCUGACGCAGUGACGCCGCGUAUAGGAAGAAGGUUUUCGGAUUGUAAACUAUUGUCGUGAGGGAAGAAAUUGACAGUACCUCAGGAGGAAGCUCCGGCUAACUAUGUGCCAGCAGCCGCGGUAAUACGUAGGGGGCGAGCGUUGUCCGGAAUCACUGGGCGUAAAGGGCGCGUAGGCGGUAAUAUAAGUCAGAUGUGAAAGGUGGGGGCGCAACCCCUAGCGUGCAACUGAUACUGUAUAACUUGAGUGUGAGAGAGGGAG
rnacentral:rRNA from 1 species